rnacentral:rRNA from 1 species
UUUGGUGCGUGUCUUCGUGAGGUCAUUA